ACAAACUUGGUCAUUUAGAGGAAGUAAAAGUCGUAACAAGGUCUCCGUUGGUGAACCAGCGGAGGGAUCAUUACAGAGAGUGAAAACUCCCUAAACCCUUUGUGAAUCUACCUGUUUUGUUGCUUCGGCAGGCGGCCCCAGGGGGGGUCAUAGCCUGUGAAGGCGCCUGCCGGAGGUGUCUUAAACUCUGUUAUAUCUUGCUGUCUGAGUCUACUAAAGAAUAAGUUAAAACUUUCAACAACGGAUCUCUUGGUUUGGGCAUCGAUGAAGAACGCAGC
rnacentral:misc_RNA from 1 species